AAUGAACGCCGGCGGUAGGCCUAACACAUGCAAGUCGAACGGCAGCACAGUAAGAGCUUGCUCUUACGGGUGGCGAGUGGCGGACGGGUGAGGAAUACAUCGGAAUCUACUUUUUCGUGGGGGAUAACGUAGGGAAACUUACGCUAAUACCGCAUACGACCUACGGGUGAAAGCAGGGGAUCUUCGGACCUUGCGCGAUUGAAUGAGCCGAUGUCGGAUUAGCUAGUUGGCGGGGUAAAGGCCCACCAAGGCGACGAUCCGUAGCUGGUCUGAGAGGAUGAUCAGCCACACUGGAACUGAGACACGGUCCAGACUCCUACGGGAGGCAGCAGUGGGGAAUAUUGGACAAUGGGCGCAAGCCUGAUCCAGCCAUACCGCGUGGGUGAAGAAGGCCUUCGGGUUGUAAAGCCCUUUUGUUGGGAAAGAAAAGCAGCAGGUUAAUACCCCGCUGUUCUGACGGUACCCAAAGAAUAAGCACCGGCUAACUUCGUG
rnacentral:rRNA from 1 species